rnacentral:tRNA from 1 species
AAAGAUUUAAGUUAAAUAAAACUAAUAGCCUUCAAAGCUUUAAUUGAUUAAAGUCAAUCUUUA